rnacentral:rRNA from 1 species
UACGUAGGGUGCAAGCGCUAAUCGGAAUUACUGGGCGUAAAGCGUGCGCAGGCGGUUUUGUAAGUCUGGCGUGAAAUCCCCGGGCUCAACCUGGGAAUUGCGAUGGAGACUGCAAGGCUAGAAUCUGGCAGAGGGGGGUAGAAUUCCACGUGUAGCAGUGAAAUGCGUAGAGAUGUGGAGGAACACCGAUGGCGAAGGCAGCCCCCUGGGUCAAGAUUGACGCUCAUGCACGAAAGCGUGGGGAGCAAACAGG